rnacentral:lncRNA from 1 species
GUGUGGAUGAGCAGGACGGCUUAGGAGCAUGCUUCAAGCAAGUUAAGUAUAUCUACUUAUCCCUGGAAUCUGAUGAUGAUGAUGACGACGACGACGACGACGACGACUCUGUUUUGAGAUCUCUAUCAAAGAAAAGGAAGGUAUCGGAUAACGUCCCAUGGAUUCCUAGGACAGCUUCCAAGGAGUGCACAUUCUUCAGCCUAAACUGAGUCCCAUGGCUCUGAUGUCCUGCCUUUGAUCAUUGGCUCAAAGAAAUGGAGCCAGUCAACCGUGCACUGAGACGUUUGGAACCACAAAAUCCACUAUAAAGUUGCUUUUCUUAGCUA